rnacentral:rRNA from 1 species
AUUGAACGCUGGCGGCAGGCUUAACACAUGCAAGUCGAGCGAGCGGCGGACGGGUGAGUAAUGUCUGGGAAACUGCCUGAUGGAGGGGGAUAACUACUGGAAACGGUAGCUAAUACCGCAUACCAUCAGAUGUGCCCAGAUGGGAUUAGCUAGUGGGUGGGGUAAUGGCUCACCUAGGCGACGAUCCCUAGCUGGUCUGAGAGGAUGAUCAGCAACACUGGAACGGAGACACGGCCCAUACUCCUACGGGAGGCAGAAGUGGGGAAUAUUGCACAAUGGGCGCAAGCCUGAUGCAGCCAUGCCGCGUGUAUGAAGAAGGCCUUAGGGUUGUAAAGUACUUUCAGCGGGGAGGCGUUACUCGCAGAAGAAGCACCGGCUAACUCCGUGCCAGCAGCCGCGGUAAUAC